rnacentral:rRNA from 1 species
AUUGAACGCUGGCGGCAGGCCUAACACAUGCAAGUCGAACGAGUCGCGGACGGGUGUGUAACGUCUGGGACACUGCCUGAUGGAGGGGGAUAACCACUGGAACCGGUAGCUAUUACCGCAUACCAUCGGAUGUGCCCAGAGGGGCUUAGCUAGUUGGUGGUGUAAAGGCGCACCUAGGCGACGAUCCCUAGCUGGUCUGAGAGGAUGACGAGCCACACUGGAACUGUGGCACGGUCCAGACUCCGACGGGGGGAAGCGGUGGGGAAUAUUGCACAAGGGGGGCAAGCCGAGUGUAGCCAUGCCGGGUGUAUGAAGAAGGCCUUCGGGUUGUAAAGUACGUUCAGCGGGGAGGCGGUACCCGCAGAAGAAGCACCGGCUAACUCCGUGCCAGCAGCCGCGGUAAUAC